ACCAGUAUGGUAUAGUGGUCUGAGCAUUGGACUAUGACUCCGGAAUCCACGGUUCAAAUCCCUGCUCAGCCA